AGCUACAGGCUUAACACAUGCAAGUCGAGGGGCAGCAUGGUCUUAGCUUGCUAAGGCCGAUGGCGACCGGCGCACGGGUGAGUAACACGUAUCCAACCUGCCGUCUACUCUUGGACAGCCUUCUGAAAGGAAGAUUAAUACAAGAUGGCAUCAUGAGUCCGCAUGUUCACAUGAUUAAAGGUAUUCCGGUAGACGAUGGGGAUGCGUUCCAUUAGAUAGUAGGCGGGGUAACGGCCCACCUAGUCUUCGAUGGAUAGGGGUUCUGAGAGGAAGGUCCCCCACAUUGGAACUGAGACACGGUCCAAACUCCUACGGGAGGCAGCAGUGAGGAAUAUUGGUCAAUGGGCGCAGGCCUGAACCAGCCAAGUAGCGUGAAGGAUGACUGCCCUAUGGGUUGUAAACUUCUUUUAUAAAGGAAUAAAGUCGGGUAUGUAUACCCGUUUGCAUGUACUUUAUGAAUAAGGAUCGGCUAACUCCGUGCCAGCAGCCGCGGUAAUACGGAGGAUCCGAGCGUUAUCCGGAUUUAUUGGGUUUAAAGGGAGCGUAGAUGGAUGUUUAAGUCAGUUGUGAAAGUUUGCGGCUCAACCGUAAAAUUGCAGUUGAUACUGGAUAUCUUGAGUGCAGUUGAGGCAGGCGGAAUUCGUGGUGUAGCGGUGAAAUGCUUAGAUAUCACGAAGAACUCCGAUUGCGAAGGCAGCCUGCUAAGCUGCA
rnacentral:rRNA from 1 species